rnacentral:rRNA from 1 species
GACGAACGCUGGCGGCGUGCCUAAUACAUGCAAGUCGAACGCAGUGGGGACGGGUGCGUAACACGUGGCUAACCUCCCAUCAGAGGGGAUAACACUUGGAAACAGGUGCUAAACCGCUACUGGUGGAUGGACCUGCGGGGGAUUAGCUAGUUGGUGAGGGAACGGCUCACCAAGGCCACGAUUCAUAGCCGGCCUGAGAGGUUGACCGGCCACACUGGAACUGAGACACGGCCCAGACUCCUACGGGAGGCAGCAGUGGGGAAUCUUCGACAAUGGGCGAAAGUCUGACCGAGCAAUGCCGCGUGGAUGAAGAAGGUUUUCGGUUCGUAAAGCUCUUUUAUUGGGGAGGCGGUAUCUAACCAGAAAGCCCCGGCUAACUACGUGCCAGCAGCCGCGGUAAUUC